rnacentral:rRNA from 1 species
GUGCACGCUGGCGGCAGGCCUAACACAUGCAAGUCGAGCGGCAGCGGGUCCUUCGGGAUGCCGGCGAGCGGCGGACGGGUGAGGAAUGCGUCGGAAUCUGCCUUUUUGUGGGGGAUAACGUAGGGAAACUUACGCUAAUACCGCAUACGACCUACGGGUGAAAGUGGGGGACCGCAAGGCCUCACGCAGAAAGAUGAGCCGACGUCGGAUUAGCUAGUUGGCGGGGUAAAGGCCCACCAAGGCGACGAUCCGUAGCUGGUCUGAGAGGAUGAUCAGCCACACUGGAACUGAGACACGGUCCAGACUCCUACGGGAGGCAGCAGUGGGGAAUAUUGGACAAUGGGCGCAAGCCUGAUCCAGCCAUGCCGCGUGUGUGAAGAAGGCCUUCGGGUUGUAAAGCACUUUUGUCCGGAAAGAAAUCCUGUCGGCUAAUACCCGGCGGGGAUGACGGUACCGGAAGAAUAAGCACCGGCUAACUUCGUG